ACUCAAGCCAAGGGUGUUAUUAUAGAUGACUUACCAUUCUCGAUCCAGCCAGGAUCAAUCAUGUGCCUCUGUUACAUCCAACAUAGCACAAGGUAACUACUCACCAGCUCCAAGUUGUGGUCCAGAUCAUAUCAUAUACAAAUGUGAGACUACCAUCCAGAAGACCAAGACUCACUGAACAUACCGUCAUGCUUCCAGACUUAUCAAGGACUAAACACACAAUUCUUUGUCCGAUCUGCAACAGUGAGAAGGUGGGCUUGGGUGGCUGUGUUGUCAUAGGAGUGGUUUUCUUAAAGUCCUCUGAAUCUUGGAUCACUUCCCAUGUGCUUCGGAGAUUGCAUUUUCUGUUUUGCUGGUUUGGGGCUUCU